rnacentral:rRNA from 1 species
UCCUACGGGAGGCAGCAGUGGGGAAUAUUGCACAAUGGAGGGAACUCUGAUGCAGCGACGCCGCGUGAGCGAUGAAGGCCUUCGGGUCGUAAAGCUCUGUCCUAUGGGACGAUAAUGACGGUACCAUAGGAGGAAGCCCCGGCUAACUACGUGCCAGCAGCCGCGGUAAUACGUAGGGGGCGAGCGUUGUCCGGAAUUAUUGGGCGUAAAGGGUACGCAGGCGGUCAUGUAAGUCAGAUGUGAAAUCCUAAGGCUUAACCUUAGUAAGCAUUUGAAACUGCGUGGCUUGAGUUAAGGAGAGGAAAGUGGAAUUCCUGGUGUAGCGGUGAAAUGCGUAGAUAUCAGGAGGAAUACCAGUGGCGAAGGCGACUUUCUGGCCUUAAACUGACGCUGAGGUACGAAAGCGUGGGGAGCAAACAGGAUUAGAUACCCUGGUAGUCCACGCUGUAAACGAUGAGUGCUAGGUGUCGGGUGUCAAACCUCGGUGCCGCAGUAAACACAUAAGCACUCCG